rnacentral:misc_RNA from 1 species
GGAAGGAUCAUUAACACGUUCUAAACGUAUCAACCAACCGCGAACUCUGACGUUAGUAACCUCUCCCUAUUCUUCGGGAUCGGGAGACGGUUACGCCUGAGCAUGUUAGGGGAAAAGUGCUGUGGAGGAGCUUGCUCUUCUACAGAGGCUAUCCUUUAACACGUUCAUAUUAACCCAAACCAUAUUUUUGUUCAUUUCUUCUGUUCUAAAGGACGUGGCGUUCAUCGCUAUUGUCUCUUUACUACAAACUUGUACAACUCUUAGCAACGGAUGUCUUGGUUUCCGCAUCGAUGACGAACGCAGCAAACUGCGAUUACUCUUGCGAAUUGCAGAGCUCAGUGAAUCAUCAAACCUUCGAACGCAUCUUGCGCCAUCCAGCUCUUCGGAGUACGGAUGUGCACAUCCCAUUCAGUUUCAUUUACAUCCCUCACAACCCUGUGUUGGUAACAACAACAGUGUUGUGGAUAAUGAGUGUUCACAUUGUUCGCAGUGUGUCACUUUAAAUGUAUCGCAAUGGACUCUUUAUGAGAAAUUCAAUUUUCUCGGUGUCCAGCACUUUAGCUCGGCAUCGCAUUGAUCAAUGCUUUGCCUCUGCUUUUACUUCCGAAAGGAGGGGUGAGGGUCAUCCUUGGCUUCACGGCGAGAGAAUGCGAGUAACUCAUUGUAGGGUUUGCGUUUGUUCCUCAUAAGAAGUGACUUCACCGUCAUUUUUUGUAAUCCGAUCUGAAUUGGGAUGAGAAGACCCACUAAAUUUAAGCAUAUUAUUCAGUGGAGGAAAAGAAACUAACAAGGAUUCCCUAGUAACGGCGAGUGAAGCGGGAAAAGCUCAAUUUGAAAAUCCUUAGUCCACAUGGGCUUGGGAGUUGUAAUCUGAAGGCGUGUGGUCAGCGUGUGACCCGGGUAUAACUUCCUUGGAAAGGGGAUCAUAGAGGGUGAUAAUCCCGUCUGUGACCUGGAGUUCACCGUGUACGAUACACGUUCUACGAGUCGAGUUGUUUGGGAGUACAGCUCAAAAUGGGUGGUAAACUUCAUCUAAAGCUAAAUAUUGGCGGAAGACCGAUAGCGAACAAGUAGCGUGAGCGAAAGAUGAAAAGAACUUUGAAAAGAGAGUUAAAAAGUACCUGAAAUUGCUAAGAGGUAAGUUAUGGAAACCAGUCAUUCCCAGAGUUAUAUUUAGCUCUUGUUGGAGGGAGACGCCGGGCGUGGACCUUUUACGGGGCAGCGUUCCGUGUGUCGAGCUUCAGCAGGUGUGACCUGUGGCUUUGGGCGUGUCAGAAUCAGUUUGCCUUGCCGGAGAAAGCCAGCGGGAAGGUGGAGAGAUAUGGGGUUCGCUUCAUAUGUCUCGUUAUAGCCCGUUGGUCAUACGACGAGGGAGACUGAGGUGACGAUAAGGCACCCCUCCUCGUGGGGGAUAGGCACCGAUGCCUGCUCUGUUAGCUGGCUUGGACAGCAAAGCUGUGCGGCCGGCGAAGCGGGGUACUGCUGAAGGUUCGCUAUUCGUGUCCUUAGCGAUUCUGACGAAAUGGUUUUCAUCGACCCCGUCUUGAAACACGGACCAAGGAGUCUAACAUAUAUGCGAGUAUUUGGGUGGCAAACCCUGAUGCGUAAUGAAAGUGAAAGCGGACUUGUGCCGCCGAGGUAGGAACUGUCUCGAAAGGGGCAGGGCACUAUCGACCGAUCGAUCACUUGUGAUAGAUUUGAGUUUGAGCAUAUCUGUUGGGACCCGAAAGAUGGUGAUCUAUGCCUGGGCAGGAUGAAGUCAGGGGAAACUCUGAUGGAAGUCCGCAGCGGUACUGACGUGCAAAUCGUUCGUCUGAUCUGGGUAUAGGGGCGAAAGACUAAUCGAACCAUCUAGUAGCUGGUUCCCUC